CAGGUACAGCGGGAAGCCACCUGGCGACAGGGAGCGGAACCCGAAAGCCUGUCUCAGUUCGGAUUGGAGUCUGCAACCCGACUCCAUGAAGCUGGAUUCGCUAGUAAUCGCGCAUCAGCCACGGCGCGGUGAAUACGUUCCCGGGCCUUGUACACACCGCCCGUCAAGCCAUGGAAGCCGGGGGUGCCUGAAGUGCGCGACCGCAAGGAGCGUCCUAAGGUAAAACCGGUGACUGGGGCUAAGUCGUAACAAGGUAUC
rnacentral:rRNA from 1 species